GACGUAGGACGCGAGCGUUGUCCGGAUUUAUUGGGCGUAAAGAGCUCGUAGGCGGUGUGUCGCGUCGGCCGUGAAAACCUGGGGCUCAACUCUGGGCGUGCGGUCGAUACGGGCAUCACUUGAGUUCGGCAGGGGAGACUGGAAUUCCUGGUGUAGCGGUGAAAUGCGCAGAUAUCAGGAGGAACACCGGUGGCGAAGGCGGGUCUCUGGGCCGAUACUGACGCUGAGGAGCGAAAGCAUGGGGAGCGAACAGG
rnacentral:rRNA from 1 species